GAUGAACGCUGACAGAAUGCUUAACACAUGCAAGUCAACUGGAAUGUGGGUUUUUAACUUAGGUUUGGGUGGCGGACGGGUGAGUAACGCGUAAAGAACUUGCCUCACAGCUAGGGACAACAUUUGGAAACGAAUGCUAAUACCUAAUAUUAUGAUAAUAGGGCAUCCUAUAAUUAUGAAAGCUAUAAGCGCUGUGAGAGAGCUUUGCGUCUCAUUAGCUAGUUGGAGAGGUAACGGCUCACCAAGGCGAUGAUGGGUAGCCGGCCUGAGAGGGUGACCGGCCCCAAGGGGACGGAGUCACGGCCCUUACUCCUCCGGGAGGCAGCGGUGGGGAAUAUUGGACAAUGGACCAAGCGUCUGAUCCAGACAUUCUGUGUGCGAGAUGAAGUUUUUCGGAAUGUAAAGUGCUUUCAGUUGGGAAGAAAGAAAUGACGGUACCAACAGAAGAAGUAACGGCUAACUACGUG
rnacentral:rRNA from 1 species